rnacentral:sRNA from 1 species
UGGAACUGCCCUUCUUGGGCGUUUCCUCCCAAUCGACUUCCGGCCUCGUCGCCUCGUGCGACGGGGCUGUUUUUUGUCCGGA